UAACACUUUAAAACAUGUAAACUUCAAUUUACUAUUGCAGCAAUAGUGUGCUGCCUAUUUUGCCCCUAACUUUCAACCUUAAUUACUGAAUUUUGCCAUAAUGUUGGAUGAUGCCACAUGUUCCAUCAACCAUCUGCCUUCUUUGUUCCUCUUUGUUUCCCCUUUCCUUUUCCUCGACACUGGGAUCUUCAUCCCCUUCCAUUUUCAAAAAACCCUAGCUCUCCUCUCUACAAUCUCCUCCGCCCCUUCACACAUCUCCUUCCAUCACCCUAGAUUUUAAGAUCGUCAAUGUUCGUUCUUCUUCAAGAGGAUGUUGUUUUAUGGUGAUAGAAGGCCACGUUCGAGGAUUCUGAGAAGGAGUACAACAUUGAUACAUCGGAAGGAUAUUAGAGGGAGCGCUGGGUUCUCACUGAAGAAGGAAGAAUCUAUGCUACUGCAGGCUCUCCUGAAGUGCAAGUAUACUCGGCUAUACCACAAGAGGGUAUCUCGCCAGAUGAACUUGAGGUUGUCGGUUUCUGCUUGCUGUAGAUAUGGUUUGCUUUAUUCCCCGCUUCAAUUACUUGUAUUCAAUUUUGUAUAAUGAAUUUUAGGGAUUCAAUUUUGUUUGCUUUAUUUAUCACGAACUGGUUUGCUUUGUUAGAAUCAGGACUGAUUUUCUCACAAUAUAACUCAUUUCAUAUUCUCAUUUAGCCUUAUGUUUGUACGAUAUUCUUUAAUUUUCCUGAAGUUUGAGCUUCGCUUCGUUAAUUUUAGCUUAGGAUUUCUGAUGAUUUUUUCAUGUUUAAUUGGAAUCGUUUGUGCACUUGAAAUCGUCUUUGUGAUGUUAUUGUGUUGCAUUUUUGUCAUCAGUUUAUGUUGUGGUGAAGAAAUAGUUCGAUGACUGUAAAAAUCUAUGUUGAUUUAUAGAAUUCGGUGAUUUACUCACAAGAUGAUUUGUAAAAGUCUAUAUUGAUUUAUGGAAUCAGGAGAUUUACCCACGAGAUUAUCUCAUAUCAUUUAGCCUUUCAAAAUUCAAAUCAUCAUUUAAAAGGAGGGAGAUAGUGGAGAUGGGGGGAGAGAGUGUAAAUAGUAAGACUCAGAGAUAACUAUAAGAGAUAGAGAGAUACAUAGACAGAGAGAUAAGUACAUUGCCGCCUUUGCUGACAAAAAAAUCUUGAAACUAAGGAACUGUAGUUAAUUGUACUAUUUAUAUCUGAACUUGUUAUUCCUUUGUCUAAAUCAAUGCUUCUUAAGUUGCAGGUUCUUUCUUCAAUUGCAUAUUAUCAGAAAAUAUUCAAAUAGCAGCUGUUUGACAGAAUCCUGAUCAUAUAGCAGGCUCAGGGUGUGCUGUGAAGAUUUGGUGGAGAUCCACAACUUAAGUCAAUGAUACACUGGGUUUCAGCAUCUCAGGCUACCUUUAAACAUAUCAAUUAUAGGUGUGGGUUUCCUGUUGCGAAAAAGACUUAUUUGAUCAACUAUACUAUCGUCUUCAUGGUGGUUCUCUCGUAUAAUGUCGUCUUCAUGGUGGUUCUCUUAUAACGGCUGCUACGUCAGGAAAACUAGAACAUUUUAAUGGCGUUUUCAUGGUGGUUCUCUCGUAUACGAUCUUCUUUCCAAACGAUCUUGGAACAUCCCAUUUUCAAAGGUACACCAGUUUCAUAAACCCAAUUUCUAUUGUGGUCUUCUUAGCUUCACUUAAGCUGCAAUUUCAAUAAAUUUUUUUUGGAUAGUGAUAGGAAGCUUUAAUUUUGCUUCUGGGAUCGUUCAGUAUCAUUUGUUGUUUUCAAUUUUCUGUUUUUUACAAAUUAUGAAAACUUUUCAGCUUUUUGUUGUCAGUUUUCAAAGUCAGCCUGAUUACUGUAGGUAUGACUAUUAUUUGGUUCAUGAUUCAAACUAUUUGGGUUUGGUUGUUUAGUUUGCAAUCAGAAUGGGUUGGUCUGUAAUUAAAAGUCAUAUUUUAAUGGAGGUUUCGUUUAUUGAA